UCUCAGUAUAGAAUGCCCAGAUUUUCAGAGUGUUGGCGUUGUGGAAAUACAGUUGGUGUUGGCAUUAUUUGUAACUUGUGCGAAAUUGCCAAAUACUGCAGUGAAAAAUGUCAAAGAAAUGACAUAUUUCGACACGAGGCCGAAUGCAUUCCAGCGUCGAUCCUCAAGACAUGCAAGACGUGUAGAAAAAGUGGUCCAAAUCUAAAAGCUUGCACUGGAUGCUAUCGAGCUUUCUAUUGUGAUGCAAAAUGCCAGAAAGGCAAUUGGGGAAGGCACAAGAUUGACUGUCUGGAAGUCAAGGAGAUUAUAGAAACGACAACCCAACUUAUUUUGACGCAUUAUUUUAUACGCUC